AGUAAAUGUAAAUGUAUAAUUUUUUGUUAAUUUAAUUUUAAACAAGAUAUUUUUAUUAUAAGUUACCGUUCAUAAUAUGUCAACAGACGUUCUAGAUGCACUCCAUGGUUUCGACAAAAUGCCCGAAUCAACAAAAAUCCACUGUUUAUAUCUCUGGCAGGCAAUAACGGAAGAGACAAGAGGAGUCUUAAAGCUUUAAACGCAUUGUCAUUGUUAUUGACAUGGUAUAGGUACUUGAUUAUGGUGAAAAAAACACCCAACAGUACGAGAUUCUGGAAAUGCCGAAAUCAGUGCAUCCCUCAGUGCUGUUUCAUAAUCUGUAAUUAUGGUUUCUGGAGCUAAAUUUGGCAAUAGAUUAUUUCUAAUAAAUCGUAUUACACAAUCAUACGAAUUCCUCGACUUGCUUUACAUUAAAACAUAUACUAUGUGCAUAUGAAAAUAAAACAAUAUCUUACAUGGUUCUGAAUCAUACAAUGUAUUGUCAACAACUGAUAUCCCAUAUUCACUGGGACCACUUUAAAUGUUGCAUCAGCAUGUAUUUCAGUGACAACAUUCCUAAGUACAUGCUGAAUUAAGUUGGUGCAUACAAAAACAACAUUACUCCUGCCAUCAGCAUCACGUACACAUCCUCUAAAGAAUGGAGCAUCACAACAUCCAAAUCGAUUUAGUUGUUGAUUUUCAAAUAAUGUAGCUAAGUCGGAUAACGAAUUUGGCAGUCUUGGCAUUGUACUUCUUCUGGUAAAUCGCAUAAUCGAUUCAGCAGUAGAAAAUGGAUAUAACUCUGCUGCUACCACAUGCCUGUAUUAAUUAUUAUUAAAUAUCAAUAAAUUACCUACAGUAUAAAAAAUUAUUUGAAGACUUUUAAACAAAUACUUUACAGCACUGUAAAUACUACAUCAUUCCAAAUUACUCUACCUAUUGUGAUAAUCAGUAGCCAAUUUAAGGAGAGGGGU